rnacentral:rRNA from 1 species
GAGAGUUGUGCUAAGGUAGCAAAAUAAUUUGUUUAUUAAUUGUAAACUGGAAUGAAGGAUUUAACAUAUUUAUAUCUUUUUUGAUUUUAUAUAUAAAAUUUAUUUUUAAAGUGCAAAAACUUUAAUAUUUUUAAUAGAGGAUAAGACCCUAAGAAUUUAUUUUUUAUUUUUUUUUAAAAUUUUUUAAAUGUUUUAAAUUAGUUGGGGUGACUGGUAGAUUUUUAAAUUCUAUUUUUUGUUUGCUGUAUCAGUCUGAUUGAAUAUUGUUAUUUAAGGGUUUAAUUACCUUAGGGAUAACAGCGUUAUAUUUAUUUGUAGUUCUUAUAGAAAUGAGUGUUUGCGACCUCGAUGUUGGAUUAAGUUGAAUUUUGGAGUAUAAACUAAAAAUACAAGUCUGUUCGACUUUUAGAAACUUACAUGAUCUGAGUUC